ACGAUCCUCAUAUUGGCAAACGCUCCCCUCAUCACCACCUCGUUGUUCCCGCGGCGGCCACCAUAGGAGCUGAAGUUCUUGGGCUCCACGCCAUACUCGAGCAGAUACUUGGCCGCAGGUGUGCCCUCGGGGAUCUUCCCCGAGUAGGAGAUGUGGUCCGUGGUGAUGCUGUCCCCAAGGUUGAGCAGGCAGUAGGCCUCCGUCACCGUGGGCGGGGCUGCAGGCGGCGUCAUGGACAUGCCCUCCAGGUGAGUCUGCACGCUGGACUCCACAACCUCAUCGAUCUCUUGGUUUGAAGGCCAUAUGUCCCUCAAGAAAACUUCCUUACCACCCUUUCCAACUCCAAUGGGCUCUUUCUCAAAGUCAAUGUCAACCUGUGCGAUUGCCGUUGCCGUACGUAGUGUGUGUGUCAGCCAGCCACAAAGCAAUAGAACUCCAAGUGGAAGAAGAAAUAACAAUGUACUUACAGUGCCGGCAAGAGCAUAGGCAACAACCAGAGGCGGCGAGGCAAGGUAGUUAGCCCGAGUGAGAGGGUUCACACGCCCCUCGAAGUUUCGGUUGGCCGACAGCACCGCAGCAGCAACCAUAUCUGUAUAUAUAUGUGCAAGAUCGAGUAGACCAUAAGCUACCAACAAAUGAUCAAUUCAAAAAAAAA